rnacentral:rRNA from 1 species
GACGAACGCUGGCGGCGUGCUUAACACAUGCAAGUCGAGCGGUAAGGCCCUUUCGGGGGUACACGAGCGGCGAACGGGUGAGUAACACGUGGGUGACCUGCCCUCAGCUCUGGGAUAAGCCUGGGAAACUGGGUCUAAUACCGGAUAUGACUUCGCAUCGCAUGGUGUGGGGUGGAAAGUUUUUCGGCUGGGGAUGGGCCCGCGGCCUAUCAGCUUGUUGGUGGGGUGAUGGCCUACCAAGGCGACGACGGGUAGCCGGCCUGAGAGGGCGACCGGCCACACUGGGACUGAGACACGGCCCAGACUCCUACGGGAGGGCAGCAGUGGGGAAGUAUUGCGCAAUGGGCGGAAGCCUGACGCAGCGACGCCGCGU